rnacentral:rRNA from 1 species
GUUUCGAAUCAUUCACAAUGGGGGGAACCCUGAUGGUGCGACGCCGCGUGGAGGAAGAAGGUCUUCGGAUUGUAAACUCCUGUCAAGGGGGAGUAAACGUCUGGUGCAUAAUCAGGCCUGAAUUAACCCCUAGAGGAAGCAGUGGCUAACUCUGUGCCAGCAGCCGCGGUAAUACAGAGACUGCAAGCGUUACUCGGAUUCACUGGGCGUAAAGGGAGCGCAGGCGGGUGUGUGUGUCAGUUGUGAAAUCCCAGGGCUUAACUCUGGAGCUGCGGCUGAAACUACACAUCUAGAGACUCGGAGGGGUGAAUGGAAUUCCUGGUGGAGCAGUGAAAUGCGUAGAUAUCAGGAGGAACACCGACGGCGAAGGCAGUUCACUGGACGAGAUCUGACGCUCAGGCUCGAAAGCAUGGGGAUCAAAAGGGAUUAGAUACCCUAGUAGUCC